AUCAGUUCUUAUUUUAAGUUUUUGUUUUUUUUAAUAUAUAUAUAAAACUAUCUGUCCAUAGUUUCAGGUGAUUAGAUAAGUAUCUUCCUAAAUCCUAUGGAAUCA